GUGCUCAGUUCGGCAGCAUAUAUACUAAAAUUGGAACAAUACAGAGAUUAACAUGGCCCCUGCAUAAGGAUGACACGGAAAUUCGUAAAGCAUUCAAUAUUAUU
ensembl:snRNA U6 U6 spliceosomal RNA